AGUCUUCUGUAUCUGUGCUGAGAUUUCGUCACACACUAAACCACAAAGGCUGAUGUGACCCCCAAGACAAGUGUAGUG
rnacentral:pre_miRNA from 1 species